rnacentral:rRNA from 1 species
GGAAUAUUGCGCAAUGGAGGCAACUCUGACGCAGCCAUGCCGCGUGCAGGAAGAAGGCGCUACGCGUUGUAAACUGCUUUUAACCGGGAAGAAACCCCAGGACGUGUCCUGGGUUGACGGUACCGGAGGAAUAAGCACCGGCUAACUUCGUGCCAGCAGCCGCGGUAAUACGAAGGGUGCAAGCGUUAUCCGGAUUCAUUGGGUUUAAAGGGUGCGUAGGCGGAGCGUUAAGUCAGUGGUGAAAUCCUGCAGCUUAACUGUAGACUUGCCAUUGAUACUGGCGCUCUUGAGUGCGCUUGAAGUAGGCGGAAUGUGCCGUGUAGCGGUGAAAUGCUUAGAUAUGGCACAGAACACCAAUUGCGAAGGCAGCUUACUAAGGCGAUACUGACGCUGAGGCACGAAAGCGUGGGGAGCGAACAGGAUUAGAUACCCUGGUAGUCCACGCCGUAAACGAUGAUCACUCGUCAUUGGCGAUAUACGGUCAGUGACCUAGCGAAAGCGUUAAGUGA